AAACUCAGAAGGUACAGAAAAUAAGAGAUUCUAUACUAGAGUUCUGGGCAUGUCGAAUGUAAACAAAAAAGGAACAAAUACAACAACAGUACAUUACACUCCGAGCCAAAUAUAUCGGAGGCAAAUAAGACAGCAGAUGGGCAGGGAAAGAGAACAAAAUUACACCUCGGCUACACUUCUUUUGGGGGUUCUAUUUUACACUCCAAUUGCACAAGCAUACAACAACAUGAAAUCCGGCUUUGCCAAUGGAAGGAAUAAUUGAGGUUACAUACACUGAGCUUUGGUUUGCAAGUCAGCCGGGAGAUGCUGCCAAAACUGUGCUGACGCUAGAAAAAUUGUAUGAUCAUUCAACCAUGGUCGAGUCCACUCUGAUGAUCACGAGAUGUUGCCCAGCAGAUCGAAA
rnacentral:lncRNA from 1 species